ACCGAAUGGUUUUCCCUGCAGUAUUGCGUGAUCCAUGCACGAGGGAUGUCGCGAGACUUUCGGAAAGCGUAAAAAUACUCGAGCCGCAGGCGAGUGUAUUUUUACGCUUUCCGAAAGUCGAGCAACAUCCCAAGUGCAUGGAUCGCGCUAUCCUGCUUGGAAAACCAUUUGGUAAUUGUUUUAUGAAAUAACUACAGUGAAACAAUGACAUUUUGAGAAUCCCGCGAAAAUCCCGCGAGAGCAUUUUAAUUCCUCGUGCAGGAUAGCCUGAUCCUGCACGGCUAUUGACCAAUCAAAUUGCGUGUUUCACUGUAGUUAUUAUAUAAU